CCAAUGCAAUGCAACAAUAUUUAUCACAAUACAAAACUAUAACAUUUGUCAUUAUUGUUUUGUAUCCCAGACCGCUGUUGGAAAAGGAACACCUGAAUUAAACGUGUCUGAAUACUUUUAUCCAUCAGUGUGAGGUUAGG